ACCUGGGUGGCUCAGUCGGUUAAGCAUCUGACUUCAGCUCAGGUCAUGAUCUCAUGGUUUGUGAGUUCGAGCCCCACAUCAGGCG
rnacentral:tRNA from 1 species